ACAACUCUCUACGUCUCAAAUUUAACAAAUUGAUUGAAAGUGCUCUAUUUGAUUGAAAGUGCUCGAUAAAAUGUACUAAUUAAAACUUAAAAUUGUGAAUUCUGGAAAUUAUUUGGAUAAGAAGUUAGUUUUAAAGAAAAAUCGUUGGAUAAAUACGAACGAUGGAGAGAUCCUGGCUUUGUGAAUCAUUGUUACCGUCCGAUCCCAUCGAGGAAUCUCGGUGAAUGGGGGCUGGCUAUUCAUCGAGGAUCACAACGCGAUAUCAAUGGAAGUUGAGGAUUUCGAGGAGGGGAGGGGAGAGUAAUUCGCUAAUGGCAUCGAAGGGGAGAUGCGCGAACGCAGUCUGGCAUUCUUCCGCGUGACGAUGCCUUGCGCGGGAAAAGCAACCCUUCAUCCCUCGAUUCGACUUUAUCCAGAUAUAUCAGAGAGGAUGCGUUCGUUUACAACCCCUGAAAUCCUGGGACCAGUGAGUCGGAAGGAAGGAAGAUAAAAUCCCUAUUAGAUCGAAACGAUGCGAUUAACAACGUCGAUCUGGUCGACGUUUCAAAAAUUUCAUCCUCGAGAUGCUCGAAAAAUGAAUAUAAAAAUGUUUCGAGAAUGUGUGACGCAAGAAAUUGACAGAAGAAUAAACCAAUAAUUCACCGAUCAUCGGCAAGUGAAUUUUUCCAACAAACGAGUUAAACAAUUAUUUUUUCUCUUCAUAAUUUCGCAAGAAGCAUGAAACUGACUACCUAAUUAUUCUAUUCGAGAAGAAAUGUAGUUUAAAAGAAGAAAAAAAUCUGGAGCAAGGAAACGUCAUACUCUCACCUCCUCGAUUUCGUCCUUUUUGCAUGCCAGAAUCACGCCAUAGAAAAUCAAAGUUCGAUUGCCUCGCGCGAGUCGACUUCACCUUCUCUCGUCACACAGGCCGAGUUCAGAAUUAUCGUGCGCGCUACAUCGACGACGACGACGAUUCCAGUUGUGCCAGUUAGGACAAUUUAGAUCCAGCCGAGCGAUAAAUGGCGGCCGAUUGAAUAACGCGUUGAUUAAACGCGAUCUCAUUUCUGAUAAUACCGCCUUUCACCGCCCCCUAAACUUCUUCCAACCUCGAAUUUUCCCCCAGCGGAUAAACGAAGGAGGAAUUCGAAGGAAGAUCUUUGUCCUUUGGAUUAAUCGGGAUUUCUUUGGCCAAUUUGGUCGAAGGAUCUUAUCGCUCAAUUUGAGAAAUCGAUCGAUAUUUUUAACACGCGCGAUGAAGAAAUCCCUCCCCUUCGAGAAAAUAAUUGAAAUUUAUGAAUUUUUAUCAACCGAUAGAAAUUAUCAAAAAUCUUUAAAAAAAAUUCGCGCUUUUUUCGCGCACAAGGAUAUUAAAUUCUCGUUAGAUCGAGAUUUUAAUAUCAAACUAAAAGUAUCGAGUUUCCAUUGUGUAUAAUUAAAUGAUCCAAAGAAAUAUUUUCUUCCAUCGAAUAGAUCGAACAGGUAUAAAAAAUAUAAAAAAUAAAAAAACGUAUAAAAAAUAAAAA